CGGGCCCCACAACAGUCCCAGCCCCAAGAAAGUGCUGCAUGCAGCCAGGCUCGAUGGCUCACGCCUGUAAUUCUAGCACUUUGAAGGCCGAGGCGGGCAGAUUGCCUGAGCUCAGGAGUUUGAGACCAGCCUGGGCAACACGGUGAAACCCCAUCUCUACUAAAGUACAAAAAAUUAGCCAGGCGUGGCGGCAUGCGCCUGUAGUCCCAGCUACUCGGGAGGCUGAGGCAGGAGAAUCGCUUGAACCCGGGAGGCAGAGUUUGCAGUGAGCUGAGAUCACGCCACUGCACUCCAACCUGGUGACAGAGCAAGACUCCAUUUCAAAAAAAAAAAAAAAGAGUGCUGCAUGCAGUGUCUGGAGGGCAGCAGCAGGGGGCAUUCGGUCUCCCAUCCCUCUUGUCCUGGGCACCAAGCGUAAGCUGCCGUCACCUCUUCACCAGCCCUAAAUAUGGGUGCCCCUCUCCCACAGAACCUGUCUCCAGAGAAGAUUUUCCACGUCAUUGUGGCCCCUUGUUAUGACAAGAAGCUGGAGGCUCUUCAGGAAAGCCUUCCCCCUGCUUUGCAUGGCUCCCGGGGCGCUGACUGCGUGUUAACAUCAGGUGAAAUUGCUCAAAUAAUGGAGCAAGGUGACCUCUCAGUGAGAGAUGCUGCCGUCGACACUCUGUAAGUGGCUUCUCUGGGGAGAGUCCUCUGGGGGGCAGGACCUCUCGUCAGCCCUGCCAGCCACCUGCCAGGCCCAGGGCUGCCCUGCUUUAUGACGAGGCCAUGUGAAGCACUGCGAUGCAGUCCCCCAGGCCCCUGCCACAACCCUCAGCCACCCUAUAGCUGUUGAAUGGGAUACCAUUCACCAGGGCUGCCAGGGAGUUGAAGGCUUGGCGGGCUUCCAUGGUGUGAUUGCCACCCUAAACCCUUGAGGAAGGACAAAAUGCACAAACAGCUUUGUCCUCGCUGGCGCAGGGCUGUUCAUGUGUGCACCAGCCCCCUUCUUCCUGAGUGCCGUCUGUGCCUCACAUUCCGUGUGGUCUAUGGGGCAGUGGGGCAGCUCCCUCAGGCCCCUUUGCACCAAGAGUGGCAGUCUGGGUUCUGCUGGGGGCGGUGACCUCGAUACCCAGCAAGGCCCAGGGCUCCUGCUGCACCCCAGGCACUGGACAGAGAGCACCACAAAGGCAGUGGCGUGUGUCCUCGCCAACAGUCCGCAUCCCAGGUGCUGCAUUCGUGCCCUUUUGGGGGAAGGUAAGAUAGAAGUUUACAGAAUUUAAGCAUCUGUGGGGCCAGGCGUGGUGGCUCACACCUAUAAUCACAGUACUUUGGGAGGCUGAGGUAGGAGGAUCGCUUGAGUCCAGGAGGCUGGGGCUGUAGUGAGCUAUGAUUGUGCCACUGCACUCCAGCCUGAGAGACAGAACAAGACCCUGUCUCCAAAAGAAAAAGACCAUAAGCAUCUGGAGCACCUGCAAGAGCCUGUGCAUGGGCUCGGCGUGACUGAGAGUCCUCCGCCUGGCCCGAGCAUCAGGCAGGCCCUCCCAAGACCCCUCAAGAUGCUAGAAUGGGACUUUCUGCAAAGUUUAAACAUCUGUACAGGAUUUAGCUUCUUUGGUGGCAAACUUGGAUUGUGAUGCCCUCAGGAAGUCUGGUUUCACUCUUUCUGUCACUGUACGUCGGCAUUCAUGAAGGACUUGUAUUUUCUCUGCCUGGUGAGGUUUGGAGACUUGAAGGAGGACAAGGUGACGCGCCAUGAUGGAGCCAGCUCGGACGGGCACCUGGCACACAUCUUCAGACAUGCGGCCAAGGAGCUGUUCAACGAGGAUGUGGAGGAGGUCACUUACCGAGCCCUGAGAAACAAAGACUUCCAAGAGGUCACCCUUGAGAAGAACGGAGAGGUGGUGUUACGCUUUGCUGCAGCCUAUGGCUUUCGAAACAUCCAGAACAUGAUCCUGAAGCUUAAGAAGGGCAAGUUCCCAUUCCACUUUGUGGAGGUCCUCGCCUGUGCUGGAGGAUGCUUAAAUGGCAGAGGCCAAGCCCAGACUCCAGACGGACAUGCGGAUAAGGCCCUGCUGCGGCAGAUGGAAGGCAUUUACGCUGACAUCCCUGUGCGGCGUCCAGAGUCCAGUGCACACGUGCAGGAGCUGUACCAGGAGUGGCUGGAGGGGAUCAACUCCCCCAAGGCCCGAGAGGUGCUGCAUACCACGUACCAGAGCCAGGAGCGUGGCGCACACAGCCUGGACAUCAAGUGGUGAAGUGAGGCCAGGGCCUUCCAGCUGCUCUUGGGGCCAGAGCCAAGAGCCUCUCAGUAGAGGGAGGGGCUGCCCUGAGUGGAGUAUUAAAGACACUUAAGAAAACCG
rnacentral:sRNA from 1 species